GGUGAAAAAGGAGGAGGGAAGUAGAGCUCGGCGCGUGUCAGGGCGGGGGCUCACCGGGCCGGUCCCCACGGUUCCAGCUAUUCCUGGGGCACGCGGAAGCCAGGUGCUGGAGGCGAGCACGUCACCUCUGUACGUUCGAGCGGAGAACCGCGGGUGUCAGUAGAGCCGGAUGAGCCGCAGCCCAAGCUUGUGCUCGGGCAGUGUUCUGGCUCGGCUGCUUACCAGGGUGUUUAAGUGCAAAAGUCCCCAAGGAUGUUCAGAUCCAUCUGCUGCUGCUGAUUCGUUAGUGGUGUCUGCUGAGUGGACUGGACUGCAGCUGCUGAUUCCUGCUGGUGUUUUGCUGGUGGACUGGAAUGCUGACAAUGAAGAUUAGAAUAGCCCCAAAGAACUACUUCUAAACAGGGUGAGCAUUUCACCACGAGCCACCACCAUGAUAUGCUGUUUACCUCAGGCCCAGAGACGUGGUCACAUGCAGAAAGGACACGUGAGCAUGUGUUUGUGUGACAGUCUUGGGAAAACAGAAUCUCCUGUAUCAUCUGAGAUCAUUUAACUUCUGAGAAGACAAGCUGUAUGCAUACCAAAAAUACCACCCGCAAGAUAUAAAUGCAAGACAGAAGUUACAAAAUCAACUUCUUCUCCCUCACUGCUCCUUGAGUCCUCCUCUGGGCACGGUGGGCCAGUAACAAGCAUAUUUAUUUAGCUGGCAACAUUUUUUUUUUACAAUACUACAGGGAGAAACUGAGUCUGUCACGUGUAUUCCUGGUCUCUCUGAGAACAGGUAGGAGGGAGUACACCCUCCCUCACUGCACUGGUAAUGCUUGCUUCAGAGGGUCCUUUCCACACACCCUGGCUGACACAGUGAGCAGGUGUCUAAACUUCUUACCUUGUAUCUUUUAAUCCUUUCUUUCAUCUUCAAAAAUAUGGAGCUUAAGUAUCCACAGUUUUCAUGUCAGUGAUAGCAAAGCCGGGCUGCUUUUGUAAGUGGUUUGAGGGCCUGUGAGAUGACUUAGACUAUAACAGUGCUUGUUAUGCCAGUCUGAUGAUCUGAGUUCCAUGUUCAGGUCCCACAGUGGAAGGCAGGGAAUGUGUUCUCUAGCCCCCAUGUGAUAGCUACACUCAUACACACAUCACAUACACACAAAUGAUGAUGGUCUGAUGUUGGUAGUGAUGAUAGUGUGGUGAUGAUGAUGGGUCUGGAGAGAUGACAGCGGUUAGGAAACUGUUCUUCCAGAUCCUAGGUUCUGUUCACAGCACCUAUAUCAGAUAGCCCAUAACCACCUGUAACUGUGGCUCCAAGGAAUUUGACACCUCUUCCCUCCAUGAACAUUUACAUGCAUAUAUGUACAUACCCAUUCACAGACACAUAUGCAUAUAUGUGUAUAUAUGCAUAUACAUAUAUAUAAUUAAAAAUAAAUCUUUAACAUAUUUUUAGAAGGUAUAUUGAACUCUGAACUUCUCAGUGGACAAACGUUUGGUUCACCAUGCCCCUUCUCCUCCUGGCCUGGUUUCCGUCUUGUGGUGAUGACUCCGUAUGUGCUAGUGAGCUUCACUGAGAAGCAAGUGUGUGCCAGUAUUUCCCUCAGGCACAGUGACUAAUCCUGAGAGGUGCUCAGCUAGAACCUGCUUCCAAUGCAUGGGUGACCACGAACUAAAUACAUAAUACUCCAGGCAAGCAUGAGUGCCUUCCUCUCUGCAGCUCCUUAGCCUCCCAGAACCACAAGAGGAGUUUUACACAGACCUCCGAGAUGCAUUGCUGUCAGGAUCUGAAGACAACAUUAGAAAACCAAAGAUGGUUUUCACUCUGUUUUUAUAAUAAUAAGAUGCUGUGUACACCAAAAA
rnacentral:lncRNA from 1 species